UACGGAGGGGGCUAGCGUUGUUCGGAAUUACUGGGCGUAAAGCGCGCGUAGGCGGAUCUGCAAGUCGGGGGUGAAAUCCCGAGGCUCAACCUCGGAACUGCCUUCGAUACUGCGGGUCUCCGAGUCCGGGAGAGGUGAGUGGAAUUCCUAGUGUAGAGGUGAAAUUCGUAGAUAUUAGGAAGAACACCAGUGGCGAAGGCGGCUCACUGGCCCGGUACUGACGGCUGAGGCGCGAAAGCGUGGGGAGCAA
rnacentral:rRNA from 1 species